rnacentral:rRNA from 1 species
AUUGAACGCUGGCGGCAUGCCUUACACAUGCAAGUCGAACGGCAGCACGGGAGCAAUCCUGGUGGCGAGUGGCGAACGGGUGAGUAAUACAUCGGAACGUGCCCAAUAGUGGGGGAUAGCCCGGCGAAAGCCGGAUUAAUACCGCAUACGACCUACGGGUGAAAGCGGGGGAUCGCAAGACCUCGCGCUACUGGAGCGGCCGAUGUCGGAUUAGCUAGUUGGUAGGGGAAAGCCUACCAAGGCUACGAUCCGUAGCUGGUCUGAGAGGACGACCAGCCACACUGGGACUGAGACACGGCCCA